rnacentral:rRNA from 1 species
GACGAACGCUGGCGGCGUGCCUAAUACAUGCAAGUUGAGCGAUGAAGAUUGGUGCUUGCACCAAUUUGAAGAGCAGCGAGCGGGUGAGUAACGCGUGGGGAAUCUGCCUUUGAGCGGGGGACAACAUUUGGAAACGAAUGCUAAUACCGCAUAACAACUUUAAACAUAAGUUUUAAGUUUGAAAGAUGCAAUUGCAUCACUCAAAGAUGAUCCCGCGUUGUAUUAGCUAGUUGGUGAGGUAAAGGCUCACCAAGGCGAUGAUACAUAGCCGACCUGAGAGGGUGAUCGGCCACAUUGGGACUGAGACACGGCCCAAACUCCUACGGGAGGCAGCAGUAGGGAAUCUUCGGCAAAGGACGAAAGUCUGACCGAGCAACGCCGCGUGAGUGAAGAAGGUUUUCGGAUCGUAAAACUCUGUUGGUAGAGAAGAACGUUGGUGAGAGUGGAAAGCUCAUCAAGUGACGGUAACUACCCAGAAAGGGACGGCUAACUACGU